rnacentral:rRNA from 1 species
UACGUAGGGAGCAAGCGUUGUCCGGAAUCACUGGGCGUAAAGGGUGCGUAGGCGGGUCUUUAAGUCAGGGGUGAAAUCCUGGAGCUCAACUCCAGAACUGCCUUUGAUACUGAGGAUCUUGAGUUCGGGAGAGGUGAGUGGAACUGCGAGUGUAGAGGUGAAAUUCGUAGAUAUUCGCAAGAACACCAGUGGCGAAGGCGGCUCACUGGCCCGGUACUGACGCUGAGGCACGAAAGCGUGGGGAGCAAACAGG